CGGCGGCGGCGGCCAUGGGGCCGUGUGUGCUGGCUGCGCUUUCCGGCGGACCUCUCGUCCUGCUCGCAUGCGGAGCAGCCGCUGAGCGGCAAGGCGAUGCGUCGGGCAGCGGGGAAACCCGCGACAGGCGCUUUCAGGGAGAGCGUGCAGCAGAGGCUGGCUGGCUUGAGCAAGCCGCAGCCGAGCUCUUCCCCAGCGGACCAUGCGUAGUCUGACCGUCCGGUUGGAGUUAGGUGGGCUUCUUAGGUAAGGUAAGCGCGACUGUGUCCAGCCGAUAUUUCUGGCAGCCGGUCUCCCCGCCCUUCGACCUGGAAGGUAAGGACUUACGAGCAACUUCUUUUGUCUGGCAAUGCACACGUGUGUUUGGCACAUACGGGCAGAAGUGACUUUCUGUAAUAGGAAGGGAUAGAAAUCUUUAAAUAAGUGUAACCGAUGCAGCUUUUUUAGGCAUAAAGGUUCAAGUAAAGGGGAGCCCUCACGAGGACUCGCUGCUUGGGCCGCUCUUUUGAUGAUGCUUAUAUAAAUUGGCACUCCUGGGAUACAUUUUGACUGUCAGGCAUCGCAGCGCAGACUUAAUGUAGGCAGUACUUAUACUGCGAACGUGCCGCCGAGACGCUUCAUCUCUGUCUAGAUCAGUGGAAGAAGUGGAGCGGACGCUUCUAGUGAAAACGAUUCCAGAUUUAAUCUGAUCCCUCUGCGGUGCUAGGUUGGGGAAGUUGCCGGUGUGUAGACGGUACUGAGUGAGAUGGAUCAAAUGUCUCCCUGGGUUUAAGGACAACCUUCCUUGCGCAGGUAUGGCGGAGUUUAAUUUUCCUAGGAAGUUGAACCAUUAUCCUGCUCUUCAUAGAUAUAUGCCUGAGCAAGGAAAGAUUUGCCUCCCCUUAUGAAUUAUUCUUGCCUUGUUACGCAUGUGGCUAGAGCGGUGCUUUCAUCCUUUGUGCUCAGUAUGUGAAGAUAGUAAUAUUUACAUCGCGGUGUCAAUAUUUCAUGGCUAACAUGAAUAGGGAGGGGUAUAGUGUACCAAAUGUAUGUGUUGUACAAUGAGUGGUGUUUUUAAAUAAAUACUGCGAUGAUGAGUGUGUUAUCUGUAGGAUUGUCAGUGUCCUGAUCCUGAGGGGCUCUUGUGCAUUUAAUAUUUGCAUAGAAAGGGCCAAGGGAUUGGGCAGCACUACAAAAAGGGAAGCUGCAUCUACAGCAUUUAUGCCAGUGUGGCGUAACAGGACUCAGAAGGUCGCUUGAGCCUGUGCUUAACUGUGAAACUCCCUGAGUGACUGGCCCAACCACUGACUCAGCCAAACCAGCUCAAAGGGAUGUUGUGAAGAUAAUACAGGGAGGAGCAAGAGGAGGAAGGCUUGGAAUCCUCAUAAGGGGGAAAACUGGGAUAUAAAUAUAAUGUAAUAAUUAUAAUAUUUUGAAAAGAGAUGCCCUUUUACUUGGCCAGGAGUCUUCCCAAAAAGAACCAGCUACUGGGCAUUGCCAACACAUAUUGAGAAGCAUGAGCUACAGUCGGCACAGAGCCGGUUCUCUCAAGAUGUGUUGAGCCUCGUCUCCAGCCAGCAGUGGCCAUUCUAGUCUGAUACAUCUUGGGACAGAAGUGAUUUAGACCCUAUUUGACCUAUUUAAAGCAAUUUUGCUAUACUGUGUAGCCAAAAAGAUUCUCAGAGCUGUGCACAGAUGCUCUUUUAAAAAAAAAUCCAAAGCAACAAAGUAUGACAGGCGCUGCACUCAUGUAUACAGUCUAAAAUAAUGUGCAGGGAAGAAAAGGGGGAAGCGGAGAGAAAAGGAAAACGGGGAAGUUUAGGCACCAGUUCAGAAACUGUAGAGUUCUCAUAAUGAUCUGAUGAGAUGGGAACAGUUCAGGGAGAAGAGAGCCAGUGAAGCCCAUCUUUUAGCUUCCCUUUUGCUUCCUCAGUUAAGCUGAUAAAAUUACUGCUGUCAGAAUAUUCUGACAGCUGCAGAAUAUUUCUCCUAGUAAUUAAUGAAUCUUGCAUGCAGAUUCUGUACAGCUUGAAGUGCCUGAUCCUGCCUAAUCUUGGAAGCUGAGUAGGGUCAAGCCUGGUUCAUAACUUAAAUGUUGUAAACCACCCAGAGAGCUUUUGGCUACAAACGGUAUGGAAAUGUAAUGUAGUAAUGAUUCCUUUCUAUUUAUUUAUAGUAUUUAUAUCUCACCUUUCCCCACAAGGAUCCCAAGCAGCUUACACAAGUAACUCCAUUUUUUCCUCACAACAACCCUCUGAGGUAGGUUAUGUGGCACAUCAGCGAUCGGGCCAAAGUCACCCAGAGAGUUUCACAGCAGAAUGAGAAUAAGAAUCCAGGCCUCCAGACUGGCCCAACGUCAUCCAGAGAACCCCCUAAGCCUCUCCUAAGACAAUAUAGUGACAAAACCCAUCCAAGAUCUCAUGUGAUCUAUGUCAGCAGACAGUUAUCAACUUGUAUUGUUAUAUCUGUAUCCUAGCCUUUUGCCCAGUGAGCUCAGCAUGUUUGUGCAAGUUGUUAUCUCCCUCUCCCACUCUCCUACUCCUAUUUCAAGCUAACCUCCUAACCUUGAAGAGUAGGUUAGCUUGAAAUACCAUGAUUUGCCCAAGAUUAACCAGUGUACCCUCUUCAGCUGAGUGCCGUCUCCCCAGUCCCAGUCUGAAGUGCUAGCUGCUUUUUAUGAAUGUAGAAAUAAUCUGUAUGUGGACAUUGAGAGUGUUUAGGAAAAUAACUCCAGUAUGGAUUUUCAUUAUUUUAAACCAGCACUACCCAUUCAAACAGGGGUCCCCAAACUCUUUUUAGAUCUGUGAGCACACUUGGAAACUUGUGGGCAGCACCACAAAAUGGCUCCCAUGAGGAUGUGGCUAGUCACAAAAUGGCUGUUUUGAGGGCCUGGCUAGUCAGGAAGGGGUGGAGGGUGAUAAAUAACAAGGCUGCAAGCUGAGAGGGAUGGAGAAAUGGAAGGGCUGCUUUCUGGCCUGCCCUCUCUUCUGCCCACAUAGAUAUUUCUUUUGCAUGUACAUUCUCUCCUCAGUCCUACUUCUUGUCUUCCUUCUUGCCUCCCCAGCUUUGAGCCUCACUUCUUCUGCCCUGCUCUCCCAUUGUUCCUCUCUCACAACCCGCCCACCUCUUUAUCUCAUCACUUUCCCCCACUCCUAGCCUCACUCUGUCCCCUCACUCUACCCCUUAGCUCUUGAGUGGGGCAGGAACAUGCCACAAGGCAAGUCAGCAGCAGCUUCAGGAACAGAAGAAGAACCUGGCCUCCUAAGCUUUUCCAUUUUAAAAAAUUAAAGGGGACAUGGAGCAAAGCGCUUUGUGGAAACCAUUGGGAGGUAGAUGGCUGGGUACCCCUGCAUUAAGGGGUUUCUUGUGACACAAUUUAUUAGAGAAAGAAAGGCAACUGGGAACCCUCAGAACUCUCAACCCAGCUAAGUAAAAAGCUUGGCUGUGUUGGAGAUGAUACGAUUUGUAAUCCAACACAUCUGGAGCAUGCCAGGUUGGGAAAGCCUGCAGUAGAUUAAAAAGUGUGUGUGUGCUCUUGACAGUUUUCCCCAGGGUGCUGCUCUUGAGAUAUUGUGAGAUUAUGUAAUCACUGGGUUCAUCCAGUUCAAGGGUUGAGUGUGUAUGAAGGUUGAAAAUGGGUUUUUAUGUUGUCCGAACCCAGUCAAGAUAACAAACCAUAAUGAAAAAUCCACAGUUCACAACCCAACAAUAAACUUUGAGUUCUGUUCAUGGGUUCUUUUUUUAACAAUUUAUACCUUGUUGGUAUAGCCUUGUUCAGAAAACAUAAGCAGCAUUUUAUUCCAAAUGCAGUUCAAUGGCAACCCAUAUUCAACGUGUUGUCUGAACCCAGUCGUUGUUAGCUGUGGGUUGUUUCAAAGCAUGUGAGAGUACAACUUCAGAGCUGAGGGAGAAACAUAGUUUGUUUGUUUGUUUUUGGAUUAAAAGUAGGUUGUUUCUUCCUCAACAGCCCAGACUUCUGGGUUCAGAUGUCACAAAGAACAACCCAAGAGCACCUUAUGCAAAGCAGAUAUGGAUGAGUAGUUUGGAGCCAACACGUUCACUUGGUUCUGCAUGUGUUUGCGUAACUCCUAGCUAACAAACCAUGGCUUAUUUAAUCAAACAAAUCAGGUCAUAGUAUAAAUAGCUGUUUUUAAUUGAACUUGCCAGCAUGUUGUUAAUAUUCACUUGGCACAUGCAAAAGUCCUCAGGUGAUGAGCUGCUUCUCAUGGUGUGCAGAUGGUUUAAUUGCUUACCUACGAAAUUUUCUUUUAAUAGGGAAGUUGCUAUUUAUGGAUGCAAGAGAAGAGAAGGAGGUAACCCUAAUCUUUAAGCAGGUUGCUCCGGGUGACAUUUCCUCUUCCCAGGGCAGCUUAGGCUGUGAGCACCAUGCCCCUUCCCCGAGGUGACUGACCACCGGAGCUGAGGCUGGCUUCUGCGGGACUCUGUACGUGCCACAAGGAUCAACAUCCCUGUUGUGAAUUCCUCGCACCUUAGCAGAACCCACAGGGGCUUGUGCCCGUGGAGCUUUUCUUCCCAGGGCCACGUUUAGCAAUGCAGGGAUACCCAUAGCAUGACGACAGAAAGAGCUGGGCUGAGUGUGCUUCAGUUUUGCAUGCUCUCCUCUUACUCUGUUUUUGUGACAAUUCUUGUGGUCUGUUCCUGUGUGUUCAGAUUAUAAAGCAAGAGCACAUUCUUGGGAACUCCUUAAUGGUGAAGGCAGAAAUGAUCUGUCAUGUGUUCCCAAGCAUGCGCUUUUGCUUCAGUGGCUCAGACCAAGGGUCAGGGUUCCUCACAAAAGUCCCAGCACCCAGCAGGCACCUGGUGGUCCCCAAAAAUGACCUGGGCUCUGGUGCUGGGAGAUACUUCCCUAGCCAGCCUUACGCAUCCCACACCAAACCCUGUAUGUGAUCUCUCGCCAGUGGCGCCCCCAGGGAAACCAGUCUUCCAUCACUGAGUUUUGGAGCCUAAGAGGAGUCCUGUUGCAUUAGGCUGAAGGCCUGUUUGGUCCAGUGUCCCGUUUCCCUCCAUAGCUGGCACAAUCCCUGCAGGACGUACACAGACGAGGCAUGAGCAUAUUAACAUCCUCUUGCUCAUACUCCCAGUCACUGCUUAGCGAGCCUAGGGAAGUUGCUUCUAGAAGAUGUAGUGGUGGCCACCGAAUCAGAAGACUUUGAAAGGGGUUUGUACAAGCUCAUGGAGGACAUGUCCUUCGUUGGUUGUUUGCUAUCCGGUAUCGGGCAGUAUGCCUAUAUAGAGCAAUUGCUGGGGAUCAUGGGCCCAGGCCUGAUCCUCUCACCCAUCUGCUCCAGCAUUCUCUUCCCAAAGUGACCCACACGACACUCCCAAGCAGGACAUGAGUGCAACAGCCCCAUCUUGCCUGUGGUGGACAUAGGUACAUGAUGGACAUUGGCAUGCCACCUGGUGAUGGAGGAGGCCUCUAGCUCUCAGAACUUGUUGCUGGUGGUGGCCUUCUCCCCAAGGACAUGAGAAAUGUCUCCUGGCCUUCUGGCAGGCUCAGGCAGAAAAUGGAUCCUUCCCAUCACCUGAUUUUUUUGACUGGUGAUGCAGAGCGUUGGAGCAGGUCCGGCUGCGAUGUGUCCUGCCACAGGGCCCCUCCCCUCAGUGGCAUUUCUCUGUCCAGAAAGUCGUAACUGGCAGAUGGGGCUUGCCCACGAUGCUGAGAAAAUACUUUGAAUUCCUCGGAGUCAAGCUUCACCUUUUAGGGGUCAGUAGUGAAUUCUUCACACGCUCCAAGAGCUAGCAAAAAAAUUACACAUUCCUUCAUGUCAGCAUUAUAUUUAUGAGCAUGUGGGUGACCGUGUAAUAUGAGCCGAUUCUUAUCGUAUUUCUCUCCCCAGCCGCCUCUCUUCUGAUUUACCAGAGAUCUGGGAGCAGCUGUAGAGACUGAGCUCCUGACACAGCCUGCCUUUGCUGCUCUCUGCAUCGAUGGGUGGUCCGUCCUCAGGGCGGGGGGUCAAUGCGCUGGUGGUGGAAAAGGACCGUGCUGCAGUGGCAGUGGCUGCAUGCCGUGGCCAUUCACCCCACAGCGUGGCCCUUAGCGGUUUAGGCUGCAAGGGAGUAUACCACGAGUGGGGUGCCUGUGUUGUGGUUUGCUGACAUUUGGGCUCAUGAGGAGCAAAACGUGGAAUUGGCCUGUCACAGUAGACCAGCCGUCCCCAAUCUUGGGUGUCCCCCAGAUGUUUUGAGGUUCAGCUCCUAUCAGCCCCACUCAGCAGGGCAAUGGGUCAGGAGCUUUGCUGUAAUCCGAAGCAUCUGGAGGGCACUAGAUUGGGGAAGGCUGGAGCUGGGCUAGGUGGACUGGUGGCUUGACUUGGCGUAAGGGCAGUUCUGUCCACUCCGUGAACAACGAGCUCUGGGUGAUGGGGCUUUUUAGCCUGCAAUCCCCCAUACCUGGAAAUAGCUUCCAUUGAACUCGGUGGCCCUGCUUCUGGGGAGGGUCAUACUGUUAGCAGGCUGAGAUCUGGCAUGUGACCUAAGAGCUGCACAGGUGUGGUCAGGUUGGAGCUCACUGGUGAGUUAAGGAUAGUGCGGAGUGAUAGACACUUGCUUUGCAUGCAGAAAGUUCCAGGUUUGAUCUCCAGCAACUCCCACUUAGGCUGGGAAGGAAACCCUGGAGAACCCCUGCAAGUCAGUGUCAGCAAUGCUGGGCUAGCCGGAGCCAUGUUCUGACUCAGUAUCCUGCAGCAUCUUAUGCUCCUACAUAUAAAGGGUUGGGACUGGAUGGUGAAGUCCAGUUCUCCCUAUUCAACUCUACUGGGGUUUGAGUGUGUGAAUCACACACCCACACCCUGGUGGGGCAGUGGGGAGAAAGCUACCCAUUUGCUUGAUGACGUGGUUGCCCCCUUUGCAGAUUUUUCCACAAAAGUCAGUAGCCCAUUACGAUGUUUACUAGCUCAAACUCCCCCUGCAUCAUUUUAAAAACAUUUUUUCUUUAUUUGUAUGAUUUAUUAUCUGCUUUCCAUUAGAAAAUAUUCCCAAGGUAGGGAAUGCAACUGGAGAUCGGAAGGGGAAAAGGUAGAUGGGACACCCCUGCACAGAGCUGGUUGCUGGGAUUCUUGCACAGGAUGCUGGGCUAGGAUUUUGGUCCCAUCCACCAAGUUAGAUCCUUUGGUCUUCAACAAGGCUGUAUACUUAGGAUCACUUAACACUGAUCAGUGGUGCCUUCUUGUUUAAUGCAACAAAGAGUCUUGGCAUCUUCACCUAGCAUAUUUAUGAUCACCUAAGUUUUCAUGACUGGCUAGGGGGUACAAGAAACUGUAAUCCCAAUAUAUUUGGAGGGCACCAGGUUGGAGAAGCCUGUGCUCGAGUCCCCUUCAUCAGAUGCACAAUUAUCCUGAGUAGAUCAGAAUAUGCGCUCUUUGGUGUAGGUUCAGCUUCUAACUUAGGAUAUCAUCACUUGUCUCUGAUGAAGGGGACUUCAGUCCACAGCAGUAACUUUGAUGGUCUUUAAGAUACCAAAAAGCUGUCUGUUUCUGUUGCAAUCCCUCUGGGAAGCCUUCACUUCUAAGAGAUUUUGAGAGUGUGCUUUUGCUUCACAAAUUAAAAACACAUUGAUAGACUACAGGGCUGUGUGUGAUUGCACACACUGUGCAAGACUGAAGUCAGCCACAUCUGGCUGGAAGGAAGGAAGGAAGGAAGGAAGGAAGGAAGGAAGGAAGGCGAACCAGGUCUUGGUGCGUGGUCAGCUGCAGACCCAGGUAAGUGACGAUUAACAAAGCUGCCUGCAACCAGCUGGAGUCUGAGACUCUUGGCUCCACAGGGUUGGAACUGUGAAUGUUAACCUGAAUGUAUUAUUCCAAACCUCCACAGAGCUUCUUCAAAGCAGAUCCUUCUUUUGAUUGCCGCUGUUGAACCAGUCAUGUGCGUAUGGCCCCUGUUUUCACUGGGAUUUCUUCUGUGUGAUGUUCUUCAAUUAUUUUACUAUUUCCAUGUCCUUUUUGCACAUAGGAGGCUGGCUACUUGACCCACCAGUUUCAGUAGGAUGUGGGGGUCUGGUUUGAAUCCCUCUGAACCCGAAUUAGCCUGUGCUUCCCAUGAGCUGGCUGAGGGUUGGGGGGUUAAAGAGAUGGGGAAACCUACGGCUGAGGUUAUCUUGACAGUAGUGACCUCAGUAUACACUCACCCCAACAUGACAGCAAUUGCAUUGUGUGAAUUAGCAGCAGCCCCUCUGUUUCAGUUUGUAGCCAUGUCGGCCUUCAACUUUCCAACUUGAGGGCCAGUGUGACUGCCCCAAAGUGGGGUGGGGUGACCCCAGAACAACCUAAGGAAGUGGAGCCCCUGUUGAGGGGAAAAUGGGAAACCAGGCCGAGGAACUAGAAUGGAGUGGCUGGAAUCUGAACAGAGAGUUCGCUAUCCUCCUCCAUUUUGUUGCCGGUCUCACAUAUAUCCUGUUUUGCAAAACCGCAAGUGGGGAUCCUGAAUGAAACAUGAACUUUAUACAUGCCCAAGCAGAAUAUCAUUUCUCCUUCAGCUUUUCUCCUUAGGUAAAGAAUUUGGAAUAUCAAAAUUAUGUUGGUCACCCUUCUGUGAUCUUGUGCCUUCAAGAGGUUUUGGAAACUCCCAUCAGCCAAACGUGGGCAAUGGACAGGACUGCUGGGAGUCAUAUUCAAAAUGUCUGGAGGGACCAGACUGGGGAAGGCUGGUGUGGUGUCCUUCCUGUAGGUUUGGAGUAUACAGACAGACUAUCUGGCAAAAUACUACCUGGUGAGCCAAAAGAAGUCCCUGCCCCAUCAUCCCAGGGCUGGGGAACUGGUGAGCCUCUAGGAUGUUGGGGGACUCCGUGUCCCAUGAGACACAGCCCAUGUGGCCAGUGAUCAGGAAUUAUGUAAAUAGUUCAACAACAUCUGGAAGUUCACCUGCUCAACCAACCGCUCUGGAUGAUCAGAGAGAGAGGGCGCAGUCCUGAUCAUGUUACUCAGCAGGAACCCACAGCGCAAGGCGGGACCUCUUCUCUGGUAAAUGAGGCUGGGACUGCAGCUGCAUCUUAUGUCAAAGACAGAAUUCCUCUCCUCCUGCUUUCUCUGCUUUGUCCAGAUGCAACACUGGAACCCUUUCGCCUUUCGGGGCACCGCAGGGAAGUGUCGUGUUCCUGUGAGAAGAGGUGACCUGUCUCUGCGGUCGCAAAAGAAGAUGCUCAUUCUUUUAAUCCAAAGAGAAGAGCAGAUCUAGGGAUGUCUACCACAGAUGAUUGUUCCUGCAACCUGGCACUUUGAAUGUUAUACACAAAUUCCCAGAAUUCCUUGGGGGAAGUGGAAACUGAUUCAGGAUGGAGGGGCUAGAGCAGCAUUGAAGAGAAAUGUAAAGUGUACAGUUGAGGAUGUGUAGCUACCCUGCACCACCUGGUACCCCCAGAUAUUUGGACCACCACUUCCCUCUGCGCCAUGCCUGGAUUCACUCCAUGGAUACUGGAAGCUGCAGUCCACAGCCUCUCAAGGGCACCAGGUAAUGACAAAGACAAGUCUGCAUUGCUUGGCUGGCUAAAAAUCACUGACAGUGCAGCCCCCGCCCCAUGUGAAAUAUAUAGGAAGCCACCUCCCAUGUCCUCCAAAAUCUGUGGCGGGACUGGCUAGGAGAGUGCGGGAGGCAGCACUGAGGCCUGCAGUGAGAAAGGGGAGUCCAGGAAAUCUCCACCUGGGCUUCUGCUAGCAGGAGUGAGUCCUCUUGGCAAAUGGAAGGGAAGAUCACUGGCUGCAGGGGUUGUACAGUUAUCGUUCUGUGUAGCCUGAAGUGCUUGAUCCUGCCUAAUCUUGGAAGCUAAGCAGGAUCGGGCCUGGUUGGAAUCUGGAUGGGUGACCUCGAUGGAGAUGCUGGUAUGAGCAGCUCAAGAACGGGUGUGAUGCCUCGAAAGAAAUGCAAGCUGGAGAGGAGAGUGAAACUCCAAGAAAGGGGCCGCGAUACCUGUCCAGUGGGUAUGGUCCAUGAGAUGGGACACGUCCCAUCCGCACCAAGAGCUGUUGUCCUCCAUUUCCCCUGCAAGGUCCCCCUUGGCUGGCACAUGGGAUCCCUUCUUGCACAUCUGUCUGCCUGCCAUGUUCCUUUCCUUCUCUGCUACUCAGGUGUUCUCUUCCUUCUGACUACCUAGCAAGGACGGUCCUGUGCCUGCCUACACCUGAGCCUUGCUGCCCGCUGUGCUAAAGAAGGAAAUGUGCUCUCUGUAAUGUCAAAUAAAACAGCUCCCAUAAGGUGAA